AUUUAAGUAGUUUAAUUAAAAUAUUGAUUUGUGGUGUCAAUGAUAUAAAAAUUUAUCUUAAAUA
rnacentral:tRNA from 1 species